rnacentral:rRNA from 2 species
UACGUAGGGUGCGAGCGUUAAUCGGAAUUACUGGGCGUAAAGCGUGCGCAGGCGGUUUUGUAAGCCAGAUGUGAAAUCCCCGGGCUUAACCUGGGAAUGGCAUUUGGGACUGCAAGGCUGGAGUUUGGCAGAGGAGACUGGAAUUCCCGGUGUAGCAGUGAAAUGCGUAGAUAUCGGGAGGAAUACCGAUGGCGAAGGCAGGUCUCUGGGCUAUAACUGACGCUCAUGCACGAAAGCGUGGGGAGCAAAC